UAGCCGUAGGUGAACCUGCGGAAGGAUCAUUAAAAUGUAAAUUUUGACCCUUUACACCCUUCUGUGUAUUUUACCUGUUUUUGGAUGAUGGAAUUAGUAAAAUAUUCCAUAGAACAAAUAUUUUAAACUAUUAUUCAUAAUGAUAUUAGUCUGAUUUUGUAUAAAUAAAAGUUAAAACUUUCAACAACGGAUCUCUUGGUUCUC
rnacentral:misc_RNA from 1 species